UUCAGACUUGCUGUAUUUACCAAGAUCUGAGAGGGCAAUUCAGAGACAGGUGGUAGUAAACCAAGGCUUUCGCCAGGUGAAGCUCCUGAUUGCUUUUGCCCCAUAAAAUGCCAGCAGCUGCUCCCCUCUUGUUCCCUGCAGACUGAGGGGGCAAGAAGCUCCCCCGUGGAUAGUUUGAAGUAGAGAAGGAGAUCAAUUGGAAAAAUUCAACUGGCUGUUGUGCUGCUCGCCUUGUUGGAAAAGGAUAUUACAUUGGCCUGAUACCCUGAGCUAUUUGCACUGAUAUCCCCACGGAGGAGAAGAGCUGGCUGGGAGAAGAAAAUGAACAGUUCUAUUUAUGCAGCAAGUAAAUGAUUGUGGAGCAAGGACUGGUUUUCCAAGCCUUCAUUAACGAGAUGAUUAAUAGUGAUGGCGGAGCAAGGAGCUGUCACUUUGUCCACCAGAGUGCUGGUUACACGCUGCUCCUGACACAUGCCCAGUGCUUUGGAGGGAUGGAGAGCUGCAUCGCCCUCCUGGACAGAAUCAGUUGGUGGUGAGGAAGAGACAACGGUGGAGUCUGCCUGGUGCCUCUGGUAGCGGCUGCUCUGAGCCAGGAGCUCCCAUCUUCCCUUAGCAAAUGUCCCUGUGCUAGAUCUGGAGUCUUUCAAGUCUGGAUACAAGGGUGACGGUGUACACUUGGCUCGGUUUCUGUAAAAAUUCAUUCUGAAAAGAAGGGGGUUUAUAUAUAUAUCCUCCUAUCUUUCUUGCAGUUACCCAAACGUACCCUCUCAGCAUAGAUAAUUAAAAAUGACCACGCAUCCCCAAAGAGGAGCUAUUCCGAAGGCAGCUCAGGUGUGACCAAGCAUGCCCGUUUCCCUAUUUUACCCUUUGAGAGCUUCACAAAUCAAAGAGAAUCAUUUUCCAGAUAGUGAUGAAUCGCUUACACUCCCGUUUGUUUGCUUGGAGUCUUCCUUUCAGAGAAUGUGAACACUUUUGCUG
rnacentral:lncRNA from 1 species